rnacentral:rRNA from 1 species
UACGUUCCCGGGCCUUGUACACACCGCCCGUCAAGCCAUGGAAGCUGGGGUACCCGAAGCCGCCGUCCCAACCGCAAGGAGGGAGCUGCCUAAGGUGGGUUGGUAAUUGGGACU